UCCAGACCUAUUAAUUGAGUGAGAUUUGUUGAUUCGCCCUGAAAAUUCUGAAAAACGUCUGAAAUCAAAUCUGAGUGCACUCUCCAUUAAUGUUACACAUGGCCAUGUAAUUUUUGACACUGAGCUUCCUUUUCAUUGACAGACUUAAAUUGUACUGUGAUGAUGAUUUCCUCCACUUAAGAACAAAAUUCUUAUAUUUACAAACCCUGAAAAAGGUGAUCCAUCCUUUAAAUCACUCAUGUAACUCCAGUAAUAAAAGAAACAAAAGCCUUCCCACCUCCAGCUGGUAGAAAAUGCUGCUACCAGUCUGUUAACCAGGAGGAAGAAAAUACAGAUCUAAGAGGAGAGGGAGAGAUUCAGGGAGGAGCUAAGCUGUUACUGAACUAUAGAAGAGAGAGGAACUUCCAUAUUCAGCAGAGUUCAAUACACAAACCAGAAACAUUACCUUUAUUCAACAUGCUGUCACUGCACACAACUUUCUCUACUAUUACUCUACUGUACAUCAUAACAGGUGUCCGCUGUGAAGAACUCACUCCAGUAAAGGAUGAAGAGUCCAGUUUAGAAGAGAGCACUGUUACUCUGUCCUACACAUACAACAAACAAGCAACUGGUAGUGAUUAUUUCUUCUGGUAUCGACAAUAUCCAGGAAAACCACCAGAGUUCCUCAUCUCUCACUCUGGUUCAGGAAAUGUAGGACAGGAACAAAUCCCUGGACUGAAGAUUAAAGUGGAGCAAAACCAAAUAGAUAUGAACAUCUCCUCUGCUGCAGUGACAGACUCUGCUGUGUACUACUGUGCUGUGAAGCCCACAGUGACAGGAAACACCAAAACUCUACAUGAAACACUGGCUGAGAAACAUCCUGAUUCUGACUCUCUGGCUAGAGUGUAAAGGAGAAGACAGAGUGACCCAGCCACCCGAAGAUGUCAUUGCUACUGAAGGAGAGACAGUUACACUUGGAUGUACAUUUGAGACCAGUGUUUCCACAACUGCAUAUUUGUUCUGGUACAAACAGGAAGUCAAUGACUUUCCUGUGUAUAUUUUGCGUCGUGAUACUUUUGGAACAGAAGAUAAUGCUGCUGACUUCCCGAAGGAAAGAUUUAAUGCUGCAAUCAACAAACCAUCAGUUCCUCUGAAGAUCCAGAAGCUUCAGCUGUCUGACUCUGCUGUGUACUACUGUGCUCUGCAGCCCACAGUGACAGGAAACACCAAAACUCUGUACAAAAACCUUUGGAGCAAAGACAACAGAAUACUCCACAACAUCCACUAGAGGGAGUCACACACUGUUAAACUUCAAUGGUAUGGGAUUGAAUGGCUGGUUUAUGUAAAGGAUAAUGUCUGACAAUGUGUCUACUAUCAGGAAUUAAUCGACCAUGUGUGUGUCCACAAUGUCCAUUCAUUCUGUAAAAUGGACACCUCAAACUGCAUGAAUCCACUUAUACCAUGGUCACUUUCCAAUGAAGAAAAAUAAUCUGUAUUUUAUAUUUUCAUGUUUGGAAUCAAAAUCUAAAUUAUUUUACAAGCCCUAGUGUUUCCCUGGUAACGCCUGAGGGU